rnacentral:tRNA from 1 species
GCGCCCAUAGCUCAGUGGAUAGAGCAAUGCUCUUCUAAAGCAUUGGCCGCAGGUUCGAAUCCUGCUGGGCGCG